rnacentral:rRNA from 1 species
UACGGAGGGUGCAAGCGUUAUCCGGAUUCACUGGGUUUAAAGGGUGCGUAGGUGGGCAGGUAAGUCAGUGGUGAAAUCUCCGGGCUUAACCCGGAAACUGCCGUUGAUACUAUCUGUCUUGAAUAUAGUGGAGGUGAGCGGAAUAUGUCAUGUAGCGGUGAAAUGCUUAGAUAUGACAUAGAACACCCAUUGCGGAGGCAGCUCGCUACACUAUCAUUGACACUGAGGCACGAAAGCGUGGGGAUCAAACAGG